rnacentral:rRNA from 1 species
AGAGUUUGAUCCUGGCUCAGGACGAACGCUGGCGGUGUGCUUCACACAUGCAAGUCGAGCGGAUGAAGUAGGUAGCUUGCUACUUAUGGAUUUAGCGGCGGACGGGUGAGUAAUAUAUAGGAAUCUGCCCUAGAGCGGGGAACAACAGACCGAAAGGUUUGCUAAUGCCCCAUAGGUAUGCAGUCUUCGGAUUGUAUAUUAAAGGAGUAAUCCACUCUAAGAUGAGCCUGUAUCCGAUUAGCUAGUUGGCGGGGUAAAGGCCCACCAAGGCUACGAUCGGUAGUUGGUCUGAGAGGAUGAUCAGCCACAAUGGGACUGAGACACGGCCCAUACUCCUACGGGAGGCAGCAGUGGGGAAUUUUACACAAUGGGGGAAACCCUGAUGUAGCGACACCGCGUGAACGAAGAAGCCUUUUGGGGUGUAAAGUUCUGUCGGCUGGAACGAAAAAAAUGACGGUACCAGCAAAGGAAGCAUCGGCUAACUACGUGCCAGCAGCCGCGGUAAGACGUAGGAUGCAAGCGUUGUCCGGAUUUAUUGGGCGUAAAGAGUUCGUAGGCGGUUAUUUAAGUCUGAUGUUAAAUACUGUGGCCCAACCACAGAACUGCAUUGGAUACUGGAUGACUUGAGUGCGGUAGAGGCAAGUGGAAUUCCCAGUGUAGCGGUGAAAUGCGUAGA